rnacentral:rRNA from 2 species
AGGUGCGAUCAUACCCGCACUAAUGCACCAGAUCCCAUCAGAACUCCGUAGUCAAGCGUGCUUGUGCGAGAGUGGUACUGGGAUGGGUGACCUCCUGGGAAGUCCUCUUGUUGCACCUC